rnacentral:rRNA from 1 species
CAGUCGCCGCGGGAAUACAGAGGGUGCAAGCGUUAAUCGGAAUUACUGGGCGUAAAGCGCGCGUAGGUGGUUUGUUAAGUUGGAUGUGAAAGCCCCUGGCUCAACCUGGGAACUGCAUCCAAAACUGGCAAGCUAGAGUACGGUAGAGGGUGGUGGAAUUUCCUGUGUAGCGGUGAAAUGCGUAGAUAUAGGAAGGAACACCAGUGGCGAAGGCGACCACCUGGACUGAUACUGACACUGAGGUGCGAAAGCGUGGGGAGCAAACAGGAUUAGAUACCCCGGUAGUCCCUGUCUCUUAUAC